rnacentral:rRNA from 1 species
GGGUUGUGAGGUUAAGCGACUAAGCGUACACGGUGGAUGCCCUGGCAGUCAGAGGCGAUGAAGGACGUGCUAAUCUGCGAUAAGCGCCGGUAAGGUGAUAUGAACCGUUAUAACCGGCGAUUUCCGAAUGGGGAAACCCAGUGUGAUUCGUCACACUAUCAUUAACUGAAUCCAUAGGUUAAUGAGGCGAACCGGGGGAACUGAAACAUCUAAGUACCCCGAGGAAAAGAAAUCAACCGAGAUUCCCCCAGUAGCGGCGAGCGAACGGGGAGGAGCCCAGAGCCUGAAUCAGCAUGUGUGUUAGUGGAAGCGUCUGGAAAGGCGCGCGAUACAGGGUGACAGCCCCGUACACAAAAGCGCAUGUGCUGUGAGCUCGAUGAGUAGGGCGGGACACGUGGUAUCCUGUCUGAAUAUGGGGGGACCAUCCUCCAAGGCUAAAUACUCCUGACUGACCGAUAGUGAACCAGUACCGUGAGGGAAAGGCGAAAAGAACCCCGGCGAGGGGAGUGAAAAAGAACCUGAAACCGUGUACGUACAAGCAGUGGGAGCACAGGUUUACCUGUGUGACUGCGUACCUUUUGUAUAAUGGGUCAGCGACUUAUAUUCUGUAGCAAGGUUAACCGUAUAGGGGAGCCGGAGGGAAACCGAGUCUUAACCGGGCGUUAAGUUGCAGGGUAUAGACCCGAAACCCGGUGAUCUAGCCAUGGGCAGGUUGAAGGUUGGGUAACACUAACUGGAGGACCGAACCGACUAAUGUUGAAAAAUUAGCGGAUGACCUGUGGCUGGGGGUGAAAGGCCAAUCAAACCGGGAGAUAGCUGGUUCUCCCCGAAAGCUAUUUAGGUAGCGCCUCGUGAAUUCAUCUCCGGGGGUAGAGCACUGUUUCGGCUAGGGGGCCAUCCCGGCUUACCAACCCGAUGCAAACUGCGAAUACCGGAGAAUGUUAUCACGGGAGACACACGGCGGGUGCUAACGUCCGUCGUGAAGAGGGAAACAACCCAGACCGCCAGCUAAGGUCCCAAAGUCAUGGUUAAGUGGGAAACGAUGUGGGAAGGCCCAGACAGCCAGGAUGUUGGCUUAGAAGCAGCCAUCAUUUAAAGAAAGCGUAAUAGCUCACUGGUCGAGUCGGCCUGCGCGGAAGAUGUAACGGGGCUAAACCAUGCACCGAAGCUGCGGCAGCGACACUCAGGUGUUGUUGGGUAGGGGAGCGUUCUGUAAGCCUGUGAAGGUGGCCUGUGAGGGUUGCUGGAGGUAUCAGAAGUGCGAAUGC